ACUCUUUAGCGUUUAGGCUGUUGUAGAAAUUUUAUGCCUUGUCCGGCGAUUCGCUAGACACUAAUUUAUUGGGUGCA
rnacentral:sRNA from 1 species